CCGCUUGGUUCAUGAUCCCAGCAAGGACGAAUCAACAAUGAAUAUAUGUUGUUAUUACAUGGAGGCUUCAGGUUCAAGCGCUUCCCAUUCUUCAAAAGCUGUAAUAAGAAAUGCAAAUUUCAGUUCCUUGAAUUUUAUAGUGACUACUUGGCAUACAAAAUUCAGUUCUCAGACUCCACUGAACCUAAUACUUCAGCAGCUUGUAACACUUCUACAAUUGUGACAACUUAAACAUAAUUAGGUCAUUGAAUCGUGGGUAUGUGUGGAGAGAAGCAGUAAUCGAAGAAUACUUGUGCAUAUUAAUUCGCACAAGGAAAGCAGCCUACCAAGCCUGAACGCUGGUACUACAAGGCCUUGGAGCAUGAGAUCCACCCUUGCAUACUGGGAGAAACUACCAAGAUUUGGCUCUGUACAAAUUGAGGUGAGCUUGUAAUGACUGGUGUAUAAUGUCUAGUUUUUAUUAAUCUAAAUGUUUUCAUUUAAGUAUCAGUUUUUGUUAAUUUGUAUGUUGUGAACAAGAGA